UAUGUAGGGAGCGAGCGUUGUCCGGAAUUACUGGGUGUAAAGGGAGCGUAGGCGGGGAUGCAAGUUGGGUGUCAAAACUACCGGCUCAACUGGUAGUCGCACUCAAAACUGCGGCUCUUGAGUGAAGUAGAGGCAGGCGGAAUUCCUAGUGUAGCGGUGAAAUGCGUAGAUAUUAGGAGGAACACCAGUGGCGAAGGCGGCCUGCUGGGCUUUUACUGACGCUGAGGCUCGAAAGUGUGGGGAGCAAACAGG
rnacentral:rRNA from 1 species